rnacentral:rRNA from 1 species
UACGGAGGGUGCAAGCGUUAAUCGGAAUUACUGGGCGUAAAGCGCACGUAGGUGGCUUGGUAAGCGGAGUGUGAAAUCCCCGGGCUUAACCUGGGAACUGCAUUCCGAACUACCUGGCUUGAGUACGGUAGAGGGUGGUGGAAUUUCCUGUGUAGCGGUGAAAUGCGUAGAUAUAGGAAGGAACAUCAGUGGCGAAGGCGGCCACCUGGACUGAUACUGACACUGAGGUGCGAAAGCGUGGGGAGCAAACAGG